UACGAAGGGGGCUAGCGUUGCUCGGAAUCACUGGGCGUAAAGGGCGCGUAGGCGGUUAUUUAAGUUGGAUGUGAAAUCCCUGGGCUUAACCUAGGACUGGCAUUCAAAACUGGAUAACUGGAGUAUGGUAGAGGGUGGCGGAAUUUCCGGUGUAGCGGUGAAAUGCGUAGAGAUCGGAAGGAACACCCGUGGCGAAGGCGGCCACCUGGACCAAUACUGACGUGAGGCGCGAGAGCGUGGGGGAGCAAACAGG
rnacentral:rRNA from 1 species